rnacentral:tRNA from 1 species
CAGGCUAAAGCUUUAUUAAAGUUCCUUGUUUACAUUAAGGAGAUUGUUGUUUGAAACAUGGCUUGA